UGACGAAGAAUACGAAAUGAAUAAGUGAA
rnacentral:sRNA from 1 species